rnacentral:rRNA from 1 species
CCUACGGGUGGCUGCAGUGGGGAAUUUUGGACAAUGGGGGCAACCCUGAUCCAGCCAUGCCGCGUGAGUGAAGAAGGCCUUCGGGUUGUAAAGCUCUUUCGGCCGGGAAGAAAUCGCUCAAGCUAAUACCUUGGGUGGAUGACGGUACCGGAAGAAGAAGCACCGGCUAACUACGUGCCAGCAGCCGCGGUAAUACGUAGGGUGCGACUGGGAAUCAGGCUUACUGGGCGUAAAGCGUGCGCCAGAUGCGAAAUCCCCGGGCUUAACCUGGGAACUGCGUUUGUGACUGUGGUGCUCGAGUGCGGCAGAGGGGGGUGGAAUUCCACGUGUAGCAGUGAAAUGCGUAGAGAUGUGGAGGAACACCGAUGGCGAAGGCAGCCCCCUGGGUCGACACUGACGCUCAUGCACGAAAGCGUGGGGAGCAAACAGGAUUAGAUACCCCGGUAGUC